rnacentral:rRNA from 1 species
GUUUCACUAAGGGCCCAUAAAUUCAAGGUAUGUUAGCUAUCGUCGCUCUAUGGACCCCUUAUACUCGAUUUCGCUUUAAUUAGCGUUAUUUGUUUAAUAAGCGCGCGUCUUUAUUUAAUGAGUUUAAGACACUGCGCAUGCUGUUGGGCUCUGAAAGCAACGAACGUGACCGCAACGUCUUGUUGCCUUAAUAAAGUUGGCUUUAAAUACAAAUUCGUAUUUAAACCGCUUACAGAGGCUAUUUAAAACUAGACGGACCGCUGUUUCUUUUCUUAAACCAGAGGAAGGUUGCGGCAAUAACAGGUCUGUGAUGCCCUUAGAUGUUCCAGGCUGCACACGUGCUACAAUGAUCAGUACAGUGAGCAUCUCAAUAUAAUACACCGUCUUUAGCGCUUAGACACGAUUAAUGGAUCGUUUUUUAUUAAGCGAGUCGUUUAAUCGAUGUUUUCUAAUGUGCGCGGUAAAGCCUGCUUCGAGAGUAAGCGGGUAAUCCAUUGGAAGUAAUGAUUUCUCUAUAUCUAGUGCACAACUAUGCACGGCACUCAUUCCCGAGACGGCUAGUUUCGUCUUUUAGUGUGAAUGUAGUGUUAUUCAAACGUGCGUGCAAUUGUCAAUUCAUGGUGGGGACAGACCAUUGUUAACUGUUGGUCUCGGUCUUAACUAGGAAUGCCUUGUACGGGUCUUUGGUUCAACAAACCACCCGGAAUACGUCCCUGCCCUUUGUACACACCGCCCGUCGCUCUUACCGAUGGACUUUUUUGUGAGUCUAAGGGACUGGGUUAAACCACUCGUUUAUUUAAUAAGCGGAUGGCAGUACCUAUGGAAACUUAUGCGAACAAAGUGGUCUAAAGGAAAGAGAAGUCGUAACAAGGC